GACAUAGGUGGCGAACGUUAUCCGGAAUUAUUGGGCGUAAAGGAUGCGUAGAUGGUAGAAUAAGUUAUUGGUCGAUGCCAAACUCAAUUUGGCGGAAGCUGGUAAUACUGUUCAACUAGAGGGCAGGAGAGGUUGAUGGAAUUCUGUGUGGAGCGGUGAAAUGCGUAGAUAUCGGGAGGAACACCAGUGGCGAAGGCGAGUCUCUGGGAUGAUGCUGACGCUGAGGUGCGAAAGCGUGGGGAGCAAACAGG
rnacentral:rRNA from 1 species